GGGUUGUGAGGUUAAGCGACUAAGCGUACACGGUGGAUGCCCUGGCAGUCAGAGGCGAUGAAGGACGUGCUAAUCUGCGAUAAGCGUCGGUAAGGUGAUAUGAACCGUUAUAACCGGCGAUUUCCGAAUGGGGAAACCCAGUGUGAUUCGUCACACUAUCAUUAACUGAAUCCAUAGGUUAAUGAGGCGAACCGGGGGAACUGAAACAUCUAAGUACCCCGAGGAAAAGAAAUCAACCGAGAUUCCCCCAGUAGCGGCGAGCGAACGGGGAGCAGCCCAGAGCCUGAAUCAGUGUGUGUGUUAGUGGAAGCGUCUGGAAAGGCGUGCGAUACAGGGUGACAGCCCCGUACACAAAAAUGCACAUACUGUGAGCUCGAUGAGUAGGGCGGGACACGUGGUAUCCUGUCUGAAUAUGGGGGGACCAUCCUCCAAGGCUAAAUACUCCUGACUGACCGAUAGUGAACCAGUACCGUGAGGGAAAGGCGAAAAGAACCCCGGCGAGGGGAGUGAAAAAGAACCUGAAACCGUGUACGUACAAGCAGUGGGAGCACGCUUAGGCGUGUGACUGCGUACCUUUUGUAUAAUGGGUCAGCGACUUAUAUUCUGUAGCAAGGUUAACCGAAUAGGGGAGCCGAAGGGAAACCGAGUCUUAACUGGGCGUUAAGUUGCAGGGUAUAGACCCGAAACCCGGUGAUCUAGCCAUGGGCAGGUUGAAGGUUGGGUAACACUAACUGGAGGACCGAACCGACUAAUGUUGAAAAAUUAGCGGAUGACUUGUGGCUGGGGGUGAAAGGCCAAUCAAACCGGGAGAUAGCUGGUUCUCCCCGAAAGCUAUUUAGGUAGCGCCUCGUGAAUUCAUCUCCGGGGGUAGAGCACUGUUUCGGCAAGGGGGUCAUCCCGACUUACCAACCCGAU
rnacentral:rRNA from 1 species